UGCAGUCGAGCGGAUGAAGUGAGCUUGCUCACGGAUUCAGCGGCGGACGGGUGAGUAAUGCCUAGGAAUCUGCCUGGUAGUGGGGGACAACGUUUCGAAAGGAACGCUAAUACCGCACACGUCCUACGGGAGAAAGCAGGGGACCUUCGGGCCUUGCGCUAUCAGAUGAGCCUAGGUCGGAUUAGCUAGUUGGUGAGGUAAUGGCUCACCAAGGCUACGAUCCGUAACUGGUCUGAGAGGAUGAUCAGUCACACUGGAACUGAGACACGGUCCAGACUCCUACGGGAGGCAGCAGUGGGGAAUAUUGGACAAUGGGCGAAAGCCUGAUCCAGCCAUGCCGCGUGUGUGAAGAAGGUCUUCGGAUUGUAAAGCACUUUAAGUUGGGAGGAAGGGUUGUAGAUUAAUACUCUGCAAUUUUGACGUUACCGACAGAAUAAGCACCGGCUAACUCUGUGCCAGCAGCCGCGGUAAUACAGAGGGUGCAAGCGUUAAUCGGAAUUACUGGGCGUAAAGCGCGCGUAGGUGGUUCGUUAAGUUGGAUGUGAAAUCCCCGGGCUCAACCUGGGAACUGCAUCCAAAACUGGCGAGCUAGAUUAUGGUAGAGGGUGGGUGGAAUUUCCUGUGUAGCGGUGAAAUGCGUAGAUAWAGGAAGGAACACCAGGGCGAAGGCGACCACCUGGACUGAUACUGACACUGAGGUGCGA
rnacentral:rRNA from 1 species